rnacentral:rRNA from 1 species
UACGAAGGGGGCUAGCGUUGUUCGGAAUUACUGGGCGUAAAGGGCGUGUAGGCGGUCCGCUAAGUCAGGUGUGAAAGGCCUGGGCUCAACCCAGGAAAUGCGCCUGAGACUGACGGACUUGAGUCCGGGAGAGGAUGGUGGAACUCCCAGUGUAGAGGUGAAAUUCGUAGAUAUCGGGAGGAACACCAGUGGCGAAGGCGGCUUCCUGGCCUGUUCUUGACGCUGAGGCGCGAAAGCUAGGGGAGCAAACGGG